UACGGAAGGCAGCAGUGGGGAAUAUUGCACAAUGGGCGCAAGCCUGAUGCAGCCAUGCCGCGUGUAUGAAGAAGGCCUUCGGGUUGUAAAGUACUUUCAGUCGUGAGGAAGGUGUUAAGGUUAAUAACCUUAGCAAUUGACGUUAGCGACAGAAGAAGCACCGGCUAACUCCGUGCCAGCAGCCGCGGUAAUACGGAGGGUGCGAGCGUUAAUCGGAAUUACUGGGCGUAAAGGGCACGCAGGCGGUUAAUUAAGUUGGAUGUGAAAUCCCCGGGCUUAACCUGGGAAUGGCAUUCAAGACUGGUUAGCUAGAGUCUUGUAGAGGGGGUAGAAUUCCAUGUGUAGCGGUGAAAUGCGUAGAGAUGUGGAGGAAUACCGGUGGCGAAGGCGGCCCCCUGGACAAAGGACUGACGCUCAUGUGCGAAAGCGUGGGGAGCAAACAGGGAUUUAGAUACC
rnacentral:rRNA from 1 species